rnacentral:rRNA from 1 species
UACGAAGGGGGCUAGCGUUGCUCGGAAUCACUGGGCGUAAAGCGCACGUAGGCGGCUUUUUAAGUCAGGGGUGAAAUCCUGGAGCUCAACUCCAGAACUGCCUUUGAUACUGGGAAGCUUGAGUCCGGGAGAGGUGAGUGGAACUCCGAGUGUAGAGGUGAAAUUCGUAGAUAUUCGGAAGAACGCCGGUGGCGAAGGCGGCUCACUGGCCCGGUACUGACGCUGAGGUUCGAAAGCGUGGGGAGCAAACAGG